rnacentral:rRNA from 1 species
GUGGGGAAUCUUCCGCAAUGGACGAAAGUCUGACGGAGCGACGCCGCGUGAGUGAAGAAGGCCUUCGGGUCGUAAAGCUCUGUCAUCAGGGACGAACGGCCGGUGGAGUGGAAAGCCACCGGAUUGACGGUACCUGAGAAGGAAGCCACGGCUAACUACGUGCCAGCAGCCGCGGUAAUACGUAGGUGGCAAGCGUUGUCCGGAAUUAUUGGGCGUAAAGCGCGCGCAGGUGGGAUCUUAAGUCCAUUUUUAAAGUUCGGAGCUCAACUCCGUGAUGGGAUGGAAACUGGGAUUCUUGAGUACCGGAGAGGAAAGCGGAAUUCCCCGUGUAGCGGUGAAAUGCGUAGAUAUGGGGAGGAACACCAGUGGCGAAGGCGGCUUUCUGGACGGUGUCUGACACUGAGGCGCGAAAGCCAGGGGAGCGAACGGGAUUAGAAACCCUUGCAGUCC